GACGAACGCUGGCGGCGUGCUUAACACAUGCAAGUCGAACGGUAAGGCCCUUCGGGGUACACGAGUGGCGAACGGGUGAGUAACACGUGGGUGAUCUGCCCUGCACUUCGGGAUAAGCCUGGGAAACUGGGUCUAAUACCGGAUAGGACCACUGCCUGCAUGGGUGGUGGUGGAAAGCUUUUGCGGUGUGGGAUGGGCCCGCGGCCUAUCAGCUUGUUGGUGGGGUGAUGGCCUACCAAGGCGACGACGGGUAGCCGGCCUGAGAGGGUGACCGGCCACACUGGGACUGAGAUACGGCCCAGACUCCUACGGGAGGCAGCAGUGAGGAAUAUUGCACAAUGGGCGCAAGCCUGAUGCAGCGACGCCGCGUGGGGGAUGACGGCCUUCGGGUUGUAAACCUCUUUCAGCACCGACGAAGCGCAAGUGACGGUAGGUGCAGAAGAAGGACCGGCCAACUACGUGCCAGCCGCCGCGGUAA
rnacentral:rRNA from 1 species